AGUCGACGAACUCUGGUAUUGAUUGGUGCUUGCAUCAUGAUUUACAUUUGAGUGAGUGGCGAACUGGUGAGUAACACGUGGGAAACCUGCCCAGAAGCGGGGGAUAACACCUGGAAACAGAUGCUAAUACCGCAUAACAACUUGGACCGCAUGGUCCGAGUUUGAAAGAUGGCUUCGGCUAUCACUUUUGGAUGGUCCCGCGGCGUAUUAGCUAGAUGGUGAGGUAACGGCUCACCAUGGCAAUGAUACGUAGCCGACCUGAGAGGGUAAUCGGCCACAUUGGGACUGAGACACGGCCCAAACUCCUACGGGAGGCAGCAGUAGGGAAUCUUCCACAAUGGACGAAAGUCUGAUGGAGCAACGCCGCGUGAGUGAAGAAGGGUUUCGGCUCGUAAAACUCUGUUGUUAAAGAAGAACAUAUCUGAGAGUAACUGUUCAGGUAUUGACGGUAUUUAACCAGAAAGCCACGGCUAACUACGUGCCAGCAGCCGCGGUAAUACGUAGGUGGCAAGCGUUGUCCGGAUUUAUUGGGCGUAAAGCGAGCGCAGGCGGUUUUUUAAGUCUGAUGUGAAAGCCUUCGGCUCAACCGAAGAAGUGCAUCGGAAACUGGGAAACUUGAGUGCAGAAGAGGACAGUGGAACUCCAUGUGUAGCGGUGAAAUGCGUAGAUAUAUGGAAGAACACCAGUGGCGAAGGCGGCUGUCUGGUCUGUAACUGACGCUGAGGCUCGAAAGUAUGGGUAGCAAACAGGAUUAGAUACCCUGGUAGUCCAUACCGUAAACGAUGAAUGCUAAGUGUUGGAGGGUUUCCGCCCUUCAGUGCUGCAGCUAACGCAUUAAGCAUUCCGCCUGGGGAGUACGGCCGCAAGGCUGAAACUCAAAGGAAUUGACGGGGGCCCGCACAAGCGGUGGAGCAUGUGGUUUAAUUCGAAGCUACGCGAAGAACCUUACCAGGUCUUGACAUACUAUGCAAAUCUAAGAGAUUAGACGUUCCCUUCGGGGACAUGGAUACAGGUGGUGCAUGGUUGUCGUCAGCUCGUGUCGUGAGAUGUUGGGUUAAGUCCCGCAACGAGCGCAACCCUUAUUAUCAGUUGCCAGCAUUAAGUUGGGCACUCUGGUGAGACUGCCGGUGACAAACCGGAGGAAGGUGGGGAUGACGUCAAAUCAUCAUGCCCCUUAUGACCUGGGCUACACACGUGCUACAAUGGAUGGUACAACGAGUUGCGAACUCGCGAGAGUAAGCUAAUCUCUUAAAGCCAUUCUCAGUUCGGAUUGUAGGCUGCAACUCGCCUACAUGAAGUCGGAAUCGCUAGUAAUCGCGGAUCAGCAUGCCGCGGUGAAUACGUUCCCGGGCCUUGUACACACCGCCCGUCACACCAUGAGAGUUUGUAACACCCAAAGUCGGUGGGGUAACCUUUUAGA
rnacentral:rRNA from 2 species